rnacentral:rRNA from 1 species
GACGAACGCUGGCGGCGUGCUUAACACAUGCAAGUCGAACGAAGUGGCGAACGGGUGAGUAACGCGUAAUCAACCUGCCCUUCUGAGGGGGACAACAGUUGGAAACGACUGCUAAUACCGCAUACUGAGGGAGGGGAUUGCGUCUGAUUAGCUAGUUGGAGGGUUAACGGCCCACCAAGGCGAAGAUCAGUAGCCGGACUGGGAGGAGGAACGGCCACCAUGGGACUGAGACAAGGCCCAGACUCCUACGGGAGGCAGCAGUGGGGGAUCUUCCGCAAUGGACGAAAGUCUGACGGGGCAACGCCGCGUGAGUGAUGACGGCCUUCGGGUUGUAAAGCUCUGUUAAUCGGGACGCGGUACCGGAAUAGAAAGCCACGGCUAACUACGUGCCAGCAGCCGCGGUAAUAC